rnacentral:tRNA from 1 species
CGGGGUGUAGCGCAGUUUGGUAGCGCGUUCGGUUCGGGACCGAAAGGCCGCAGGUUCAAGUCCUGUCACCCCGACCA